rnacentral:lncRNA from 1 species
AUCCCUCUGAAUUUCAAUCUAAAAGGUGUCUCAUGUGAAAAAGAUGGUCUCUUUCUUUAUAAGCCAAAGUCUUUCUUGACUGACAACUAAUAUGAGACUAAUGGUGUCCUCCUUUAUUAUCACCACAGCCCCAUCAGUCAAUGAGAAGUUUGUGUAUGGGUGGGAGGUGCAUUAUAGUCGUAGGUUCAGGAUCUGCAUGGACCAUCAAUAGUUGCAGCCA